rnacentral:lncRNA from 1 species
UCUCCUCGGAUCUGACCGAAAACCAGCCUUAAGAAGUAAAAAAUGCAAAAACAGAGAAAGGAGAACUCUCAUUCUUCUGCGCCGGUUCUGGAACUUCUCCAGCGAAAGAAGAUGCCGGUGGUCGGUUUUAGUUUGUCCGACAGCUUUGUUCCUUCUUGUUCAUCAUUUUUUUUUUGGGAACUUAUUAUGUAUGAAACUGGAUUUGAGAGACAAGACUACUCUCAGUAGUUUGAAUUUGUUUUUAAGUCCUAGCAAUCACAUGGCAAACGGGGAAACUUAUUAUGUAUGAAACUAGAUUUGAGAGACAAGACUACUCUCAGUAGUGAAUUUGUUUUUAAGUCCUAGCAAUCACAUGGCAAACGGAUAGAAUAAUCAUCUACAUCUUUAAAUCCCUGCUGAUUCGAGGUUGCCGGGUUUGGUGAAGUUCUCGUCUGUAAUCGCUUUGGGUUUGUAAUUUUGGAGAAUCUCUUUU